GGUUCAGUGGCCGAGUGGUCAGGCAGAGGUCUGCAAAACCUCGUACAGCGGUUCGAGUCCGCUCUGAACCU
rnacentral:tRNA from 1 species